rnacentral:rRNA from 1 species
CCUACGGGAGGCAGCAGUGGGGAAUAUUGCGCAAUGGGCGAAAGCCUGACGCAGCGAAGCCGCGUGAGGGAUGAAGGUCUUCGGAUCGGAAACCUCUGUCAGCAGGGAAGAACGGUCACUGUGCUAAUCAGCAGUGAAUUGACGGUGCCUGCAAAGGAAGCACCGGCUAACUCCGGGCCAGCAGCCGCGGUAAUACGGAGGGAGCGAGCGUUAAUCGGAAUUACUGGGCGUAAAGCGCUCGUAGGCGGUAUGUCAAGUCAAGGGUGAAAUCCCCGCGCUCAACGUGGGAACUGCCGUUGAAACUGGCAAACUGGAGUGUGUGAGAGGAUAGUGGAAUGCCAGGUGUAGGAGUGAAAUCCGUAGAUAUCUGGAGGAACACCAGUGGCGAAGGCGACUAUCUGGCACAUAACUGACGCUGAGGAGCGAAAGCGUGGGUAGCAAACAGGAUUAGAUACCCCUGUAGUC